GGAGCAAGUAAAUCAUCUGCGGGAGCGU
rnacentral:sRNA from 1 species